rnacentral:tRNA from 2 species
GAAUACCGGCCUGUCACGCCGGGGGUCGCGGGUUCGAGUCCCGUCCGCUCCGCCA